AAGAAAUAUAAUACGAAAUAGAUAUGUUUGAAAUUAACAAAUCUUAGUAUCUUUGAAUAUCAAGAACGAUGCAUUUUCGUUUACUUGUUCUUAUAUUCCUGGCGAUUUGCCUACAUUAUAACGUUCAAGGGCGAGAUAUUGAUGAUAUGGAUCAAAAGCAAACAGAAGCUCCUAAACGUCGGUUGUUUAUUGUAAAAGUUCCGUGUAAACGUGGCUAUCAAGAAAUCACAAUUGAUUGCGAACCAGAUCUCGAGCCUUUUUAGACGAAGACUAAGCAGAAAAAAGAAACCAUAGACACCGAAGAAAACGCAAUAAACAUCAUUAAUGAACGAUAAUUUUGUUGAAUGCAAAUAUAAUAUCAAUAAAAGUAGCUUCCAGACUAAAAUUAUGUUUUUAAAAAUGAAAUAAAUAUCUAUAUAAAAAA